rnacentral:misc_RNA from 1 species
GAUGAAGAACGUAGCGAAAUGCGAUAAGUAAUGUGAAUUGCAGAAUUCAGUGAAUCAUCGAAUCUUUGAACGCACAUUGCGCCCGCCAGCAUUCUGGCGGGCAUGCCUGUUCGAGCGUCAUUUCAACCCUCAAGCUCUGCUUGGUGUUGGGGCCCUACGGUUGACGUAGGCCCUUAAAGGUAGUGGCGGACCCUCUCGGAGCCUCCUUUGCGUAGUAACUAACGUCUCGCAUUGGGAUUCGGAGGGACUCUUGCCGUAAAACCCCCAAAUUUUCUAAUGGUUGACCUCGGAUCAGGUAGGAAUACCCGCUGAACUUAAGCAUAUCAAUAAGCGGAGGA